rnacentral:lncRNA from 1 species
UUGGGUUGAGCUCUCCCGUUUGGUUUAUAACAGUGGUGCUUUCAUUGAGAGUCUCACCCGUUGGGCCGUGACUUGGAGUAAUGGCCUGCGCACUUGGAGUGGUGGCCUGGACCCAAGAAGGGGUGUCAGCCCAUGACCAACAAGGAUCUAUCCAUGUGUGGGGAGCCGCGUGUUGGGCCAUGACUCGGAGUGGUGGCCUGUGUGCUAGUAGUGGUGGCCUGGACACCCACCCAAGAGGGGUGCCAGCUGUGACCAACUGGGCAUAGCUGUGACCAACGAGGAUCGAUCCAUGCGUCGAGCCACGACUCAGAGUGGUGGUCUGUAUGCCAGGAGUGGUGGCUUGGACCCAAGAAGAGGUGCCAGCCCGUGACCAACGAGGAUCUAUCCACGUGUGGGGAGCCGCGCGUUGGGCCGUGACUCGGAGUGGUGGCCUGUAUGCCAGUAGUGGUGGCUUGGACCUAAGAAGGCUGUCAGUCGUGACCAACUGGGCUCAAUCGUGACCAAUGAGGUCGUUGGUUCUCAAGCAGAGGCGAUUGUUAUGAGCCAAUUAUCCCACAUUGAAAAAAUAGAGAAAUGCUAAGGGAAAAAUAUAAGCCAAAUGGGUUCUCCCACCUAUUAGGCUAGUCUUUUGGGUUGGGCUCUCCUAUUUGGUUUAUAACAGUGGUGCUUUCAUUGAGAGUCCCAUGCGUUGGACCGUGACUCGAAGUGGUGGCCUCAGUCGUGACCAACUGGGCUCAACCGUGACCAAUGAGGUCGUUGGUUCUCAAGCAGAGGCGAUUGUUAUGAGCCAAUUAUCCCACAUUGAAAAAAUAGAGAAAUGCUAAGGGAAAAAU